GACGGAGGGGGCUAGCGUUGUUCGGAAUGACUGGGCGUAAAGGGCGUGUAGGCGGUUGAUCAAGUCAGACGUGAAAGCCUUGGGCUUAACCCAAGAACUGCGUUUGAGACUGGUUGACUUGAGGACGAGAGAGGAAAGUAGAAUUCCGAGUGUAGAGGUGAAAUUCGCAGAUAUUCGGAGGAAUACCAGAGGCGAAGGCGUCUUUCUGGCUCGUUUCUGACGCUCAUGCACGAAAGCGUGGGGAGCAAACAGG
rnacentral:rRNA from 1 species